rnacentral:antisense_RNA from 1 species
CUUCAGCGACCCCAGCCACAACGGGCGGUCGGUGGUGCGGUGUCGGCCGUAGGCGGCGAGAAGCGCCUGCGCCUC